rnacentral:rRNA from 1 species
CCUACGGGAGGCAGCAGUGGGGAAUAUUGGACAAUGGGGGGAACCCUGAUCCAGCGACGCCGCGUGAGUGAAGAAGUAUUUCGGUAUGUAAAGCUCUAUCAGCAGGGAAGAAAGAAAUGACGGUACCUGACGAAGCAGCCCCGGCUAACUACGUGCCAGCAGCCGCGGUAAUACGUAGGGGGCAAGCGUUAUCCGGAUUUACUGGGUGUAAGGGGAGCGUAGACGGCGAUGCAAGUCUGAAGUGAAAGGCGGGGGCCCAACCCCUGGACUGCUUUGGAAACUGUGUGGCUGGAGUGCAGGAGAGGUAAGUGGAAUUCCUAGUGUAGCGGUGAAAUGCGUAGAUAUUAGGAGGAACACCAGUGGCGAAGGCGGCUUACUGGACUGUAACUGACGUUGAGGCUCGAAAGCGUGGGGAGCAAACAGGAUUAGAUACCCGUGUAGUC